AAAAAUUCUCUCAGUAGUCAUCAACGGAAAAAUGAUCAAACUACUACAGGGGGAGGCAGCUGGGCAAUAUUUGACCAGCUACGCAUGGGCCUAAUUUCCCCUCUCAUUAUAUCAUACAGAUUUUCUCAGCAUUCUAUCAACUUGAACCUCUCAAAAUGUUACUCGCAUAUGGAAAUACUUUCAAGCUUCUUUCCCAGCAGAAAACGGAGAGAAGUCCCUCAGGAGCAUAUGCGCAUUCCAAGACACCAACGAAAAGAAUAGUCCAACGAGUGGAUUUACAGGGGGAUGGCUCGAUUGCAAAAAUUAAAGACAUGCUCCACAAGGUGGAGCUAUCCGCUUCUCCCUAUGAUACUGCUUGGGUAGCUAUGGUCCCAGCCGGAGAUUCAUCAAACCAGUCCCGUUUUCCGGAAUGCUUAAAUUGGAUUUUGGAGAAUCAGAAUCCUGAUGGGUCAUGGGCUUUUCACCCAAGCGAUCCCUUGCUAGUCAAGGACUCCCUUUCUUCCACAUUAGCAUGCAUACUUGCUCUUCAAAAAUGGAACGUUGGCCAACGACUCGUAAACAGAGGUCUCGACUUUAUUGGAUCCAAUAAAUGGGCGGCCACGGACAGUAAACAAAAGUGUCCAAUCGGCUUCGAUGUUAUAUUUCCUGGCAUGAUCGAACGGGCACAACACAUGGGCUUGGCUCUUCCAAUUAACACAUAUUCACUAGAUGCAAUGCUUAACAAGCGAGACUUGGA
rnacentral:misc_RNA from 1 species